UGAGGAAUAUUGGUCAAUGGGCGCAAGCCUGAACCAGCCAUCCCGCGUGCAGGAAGACGGCGCUAUGCGUUGUAAACUGCUUUUCCAGGGGGAGAAACUUGCGCACGUGUUGCGCAAUUGACGGUACCCUGGGAAUAAGCAUCGGCUAACUCCGUGCCAGCAGCCGCGGUAAUACGGAGGAUGCGAGCGUUAUCCGGAUUCAUUGGGUUUAAAGGGUGCGUAGGCGGACUAUUAAGUCAGUGGUGAAAUCCUGCAGCUUAACUGCAGAACUGCCAUUGAUACUGAUAGCCUUGAGUUUGGUUAAGGUAGGCGGAAUGUGUAAUGUAGCGGUGAAAUGCUUAGAUAUUACACAGAACACCAAUUGCGGAGGCAGCUUACUGAGCCGACACUGACGCUGAGGCACGAAAGCGUGGGGAUCGAGCAG
rnacentral:rRNA from 1 species